AUUGAACGCUGGCGACAUGCUUUACACAUGCAAGUCGAACGGUAACAGGCCGCAAGGUGCUGACGAGUGGCGCACGGGUGAGUAAUGCAUCGGAACGUGCCCAGUCGUGGGGGAUAACUACUCGAAAGAGUAGCUAAUACCGCAUACGAUCUAUGGAUGAAAGCGGGGGACCGUAAGGCCUCGCGCGAUUGGAGCGGCCGAUGUUAGAUUAGGUAGUUGGUGGGGUAAAGGCUCACCAAGCCAACGAUCUGUAGCUGGUCUGAGAGGACGACCAGCCACACUGGGACUGAGACACGGCCCAGACUCCUACGGGAGGCAGCAGUGGGGAAUUUUGGACAAUGGGCGCAAGCCUGAUCCAGCAAUGCCGCGUGCAGGAAGAAGGCCUUCGGGUUGUAAACUGCUUUUGUACGGAACGAAACGGCUCUGGUUAAUACCCGGGGCUAAUGACGGUACCGUAAGAAUAAGCACCGGCUAACUACGUG
rnacentral:rRNA from 1 species